UGGCCCCGAGGUAAGUAUUUUUACUCCAUUUUAUAAGAAGGAAAUGAAGACUCAAAGAGGUUGCUUGCACAGCUACGAUUGGAACACAACAAUAAUAAAUAACACAGUGAUUACCUGUUAUGUUCCAGGCCUUAAACACGCUGCGUGUUUUCACUCCUUUAAUGCACAGGAUGCCACUUUACAGCUGAGGAACUGAGGCAGAGAGAAUAAAUUACUUGCCCAAAGUCCCCCCCAAGUACAGCGUGAACUGACAGCUGCAGUAGAGUGCAGGCCGGCUGGCUGCCCGCCCAGGGGCCCAACCACAGCACGUGCCGCUCUUGCUUGUGCAUCAUACCCCGCCCCCUGCCGCAAUGGGAGAGUCUUGGCCGCACGGACGCCCGCCUCCCACUGCCAAAGGCUGCCAUCACCAUCCAGAAAGUCCUUGAGAACGGCAGGUCUAUUAAGAGUCAGCCCCGGGAGAAACACAAGCCUCUAUAAUAUAUCAUCCCUCUGUACUUGAAUUUUCAAGACAGAAUGAAUGUUGAUUUUCCUUUGUUCUGUUUUUUUUGUUGUAGAGAAGUCAAGUAACUUGCUCAAAGUCGCACAGCUGCUAAGUGGUGGAGCUGGGAUUUGAACUCAGCCAUUCUGUCUCCCAAGUCUGUGUUCUGAACCACCACAAAGUACCAUGUUUCUCUGGUUUAAACAGAUUCAGGACUCCGCGAUGUACUCCUCUCCCAAAACGCUUCUCCUAAGGAAAUCCUGGCAUCGUCUGCGUGGUGAUGUUCCUCUGUGGCGUGGACACGGCGGGUCCAGGAGAUCAGCAGAAACCUACCGUGGGUCCCAGUGGCCUUUCAGGUCAGAUCCAAGGCCUUAGUCACGGGCUUUCGGAGCCAUUGCGCCUCACGCCAGACACUCACCUCAGACCAGCAAACCCUCGCUUCCCACCCACCCGGCUCCCUGCAGCCUCUGACAUUUUCCACUUGCUGUUCCUCGAAGCUGAGAAGAUUUUCUUUCUUCUUUUCACCAAACACAUCUUUGCCUUUCCUCCAAAUUCUCCUCUACCAUUGGCUUCCACAAGCCAUCAGCAUCAACGCCAAGAACAAUGUCAGCAUCAUCGCCAUCUUUUCCCAGGUUCCAGGAUGUGGUGACGGCAGAUUGUAAAAUGCUCCCAUGACGCAAAUGAAGUUAUACGGACUCCCGACACAGGUAACCACCCUUGGACAAUAAUGACUGCACUUGCACAUAAAUUACCGGCUUUGAUCCUAACAACCUCCCAUCCACACCUUUUUCCUCCUGCGGUGACACUUCAAGGUGCUCUGCUGGCUUCUCCAAGGAUUCCUGAUGAGAAAACCCAACACCGAUUUUCAGGUCUCUCCUCGAUGGCCGCUUGGUGGCACCUGACACUCCCACCCCUGUUUUCUUAAACCUUUCCACCCUCUUGACUUUAAUUUUCUUGCCUGCCUCUGUGACUCGCCCAGCUCGCCUCCUCCAGCCCCUCUCCUCCUCCUCCUGCAGCGAGGGUGCUCACAGGUCCAGCUCCUUCACCUGUGGCUGAGCUACAACCCAUAUCCUAGUGACCCCAAGUCUGGGUCUCUCCUCCUCAACUCUCCUGGGUCCCAGGGCCACUGUCCGUGUCCCCACUGGCUCCCAAACCAGAAUCCAGCAAACUCAUCAACCAUGAAUGGAUUGCCUUCCACCUGCAAUGAAAAUUGGUAAGACACACGCCCUGCCCACCCUCUACAUCCAUCUCAAACUCGAUAUUUCGUUUUCUUUGUGCAACUACUCCUUCUAUGGGUCCUGUUUAGGGUCUAGUUGUCCAGAGUAGAAACCUCAGAGCCACUCUUAGUGUCUUCCCCCCUCAAGUUCCCCGUCUGACCUGAGAGCAACCCCUGCUGCUUUAGCACCACCCACCUCUCUCCCCCUGCCUCGACUCCAACCUGCUACGAUUUCCUUAAUUCCAGCUCUCCUCAUCUCUGGUCGUGAACUAUUGCAGUUACCUCUUUUCUGGUUGCCCUUCCUCUCUUUCCCUGUUCCAAUCUUUACACGGUCUAACACGGAAACAGUCAGGUCACUGACUGUCGACAGUACCAUUUCCCAAAGCUAUAGUCCACACUCUUGGACAUGAAUACAAUGCCUUUCCCAGCCUGGCCCCCAUCAACCUUAACAGCUACAUAGUCCCCCGCAUCCUCUCCCUCCUCCUUCUCUCUUCACUCUUAGCUCCAGACAGACCAAGCUUCCUUCUGUUUCCUGAGACUGCAGUCUCAUUCAGUCUCCAUACCUCUGCAAAUACAGUUUCUCCAACGUGGAUGGCCUUUAUCCUACUUUCUGCUUGGUGAGCCCUCAUUCAUUCACGGGGUCCAGCUCACCUCCACCAUGAAGCUUCUGAGGACUCCUCUGCCUGUGGAGAGACACACCCUUCCCUCCCGCUCCUGGACCGCUGUGCUCCAUGCGCACGCCCCUCCGUGGGACAAGCAUUCCUCGCCUGUGGGUCUCAGGACGGCUCAUCUUUGAGCCCUCAGCGCCUAAUACAGGGCCUGGCACUGCAGGUGCCCGUCUCUCUUCUGAACAAAUUAAAUCUCAUGGCACCAAAUGACACCCCCUGGAUAAUCAAGUGCAGGUAGGGUGGGGAAGCACAGCCCCUAAUUCAGAUUCUUUGUUCGUCUCCAGUUGCAACCUCAUUGAAAUUUUCACCUUUCCUGGAUAAGUGUGAACACUUGGAGAGGAAAGAGGAAAAAUUCUCAUUUCAAUGAAUCUUCUCUCCCCAGCGGACUCAAUCUACCUUUCUCUGUGGGUUGUAAAACUCAUUGAUCCAGUGGCAUGUGUUUUAGGUAUCCCAUGUAAAGUUCAGUUUUCUACUAGAGUGGCUGUAACUCAUUUUGUGCUAAAAUCAUGCAGAUAUUGGUCUGGUUCGUAGUUGACUCUCUUUUCUGGCAUAUGAAUUAAGGAUAAUUUAGAGAAAUAUAGGCACCGUGAUAUUUGUGGGUAGGUUUUCCUUUGCUUCAAUCUCUGGCGAGAUGACCCUUGCAUAUGUCAGGUUUUGAAGUCAGACACUCCGGGUUUAAAUCUGGCUCCAUCAGUGUGUGACCUGUAGCAUGUCUCUUUCUGCCUCAGUUUCCUCAUCUGUAAAA